AAAAAAAUAGAGAAAAAUCGAUAUUCAAUGUCAAUGAAAACGAGACAACAGUGUGAUAUUCGAAUAAAAUUUAGUUAAAGUUUACACAAGGAGUUCGAAUUUAUUCCAAAAGCAAAGUGAAGAUGGAUUGAAAUUACGAUAGACAAAAGAAAGAUAAAAAGAGGAGUGGGUAAUCUUAUACAUAUUAGAAGAAUCAGACAUGGAAGCAAGAGAACAAGAGGAUGAGACAAGACUUGAGCGAGUUGCCAAAUGAGUCACUUGUCUUCUUAAACUUGAUCAUCUUCUUGUUCUUGAACCACUUCCUCUGUUUCUUGGGAGACAAGUCUGCUUCCUCCUCGUAGCUUUUGAACGUGUAGCUUCUGAGAUAUUUCUGUCUGUUGGAUUUGUAAACCUCUGGGCUUAUGAAUCUAACGUAAUCUCCUGGUGACUGAAAAGGUUCGUCCUUGGCACUAAUCUUCUCGGAUCUCAUGUUUUGAACAUCUUUCAUCAUCAUUUUUGUUAGCCAUGAAGGACCCUGAAUCUGAUCCCUGACAGAGAGAGACUAAGGAGUCUGUGGAUAGAAGCGAAGAGAGGCAAAUAGACUAGAGGUACUAAUUGAGUUUGGUUACAAGAGGAAAGAAUAGUCUCUGUGGUUUUUGGGCUUGUUGUUUGCAGCCCAAGGGAACGAAGUUUGUGAUGAUAUGUUCUUGUUCUUGUGUGUCUUGAAGCUGCUGUGGUAACUGAAUGAGAAGUGGACAGUCUCUCCCGUUCCAGACCCAGAAGUCUUGCUCUUAUUUGAAGCUGGAUUUCCUUUAUAACAACUUGAGAAGGCUUGCUUAAUGAAUUAUGAAAUCAGGAAUUUCGCUCCUUCCAUAGAAAAUAGAUCACUGCUUGAAAUAUUAGGAGAACAAGAGGCUUCAGUUCUCUGCAAAGUGCCGAGGACCUCAGCCAAGCCUCCACAUCUUCAAAGGAAAGCGGUGGGUUCAUUUUCAUCACCACACAACAUACAACCUGGUGAAACCUGAAUACCCCAUGAGCUUAGACGAUCUCUGAACGCAAGCCAAGCAAUGAAUGCAUGCUUAGGGAUUUUUUGUUUGAACCAGACCAGAGAAAACCAAGUCACCGGGCUUUCAAUAGGAUUUAGGAAAUGCCAAACCUUGGAGGCAGAAAACCUAUCUGGUGAAUCAUGAGGGGAGUUCUUCCAAAAAUAGAAGUCAGGCUCUGAAGAAUCCAGAGAAGGGAGCGGAGAAGGCAUGCACGACCGUAGCAGAGCUAGAGUCGGAUGUCUGCUGCGAGAAGCAAUCCACCGUCCUUCAUUUAACGCCUCAAAGACAUAGGCAGAAAAGGAGAUUCCUGAGGGUCCCGUUAGAUGCAAAAGAGAACCCAUCCCAGUCUAAUCAUCCAACCAGAAGAGUGCAUUCCGGCCAGACAUAACGGUGCAGGUUAUAAAUUGUCUUGCUGUGUCCCUAUGAUCCAUUAAACUCCUCCAAAUCCAACUUCCAAGAUUAGUGAAAUCAUCAACCCAAAACAAACGCUCCUCCAAAUUUCAGCUUCAUUAGCCAGGUUCAUCUUCAUCUAGCCUGCUUCACUUGGGUUGUUUUGCUCUUUCAAUUUCUUGUAUCUUUCUUUCAUCUUCUUCUUUUUUCCUUUAUUUUGUGUUGUAAAGGUACUCUGAAAAGAAAAAUCGUGAAUAAAUAAGUACUUAUAAAAAAAUAAAAAAAAAGUUUGUGAUGA